rnacentral:rRNA from 1 species
GGGCGGGGCACGUGAAACCUUGUCUGAACAGUGGGGGCGGUGGAUAUAGGGAAUGAUAUCCAAGUGACGGUACUCUAUAAGAAAGCCACGGCUAACUACGUGCCAGCAGCCGCGGUAAUACGGUAGGUGGCGAGCGUUAUCCGGAAUUAUUGGGCGUAAAGAGGGAGCAGGCGGCACUAAGGGUCUGUGGUGAAAGAUCGAAGCUUAACUUCGGUAAGCCAUGGAAACCGUAGAGCUAGAGUGUGUGAGAGGAUCGUGGAAUUCCAUGUGUAGCGGUGAAAUGCGUAGAUAUAUGGAGGAACACCAGUGGCGAAGGCGACGAUCUGGCGCAUAACUGACGCUCAGUCCCGAAAGCGUGGGGAGCAAAUAGGAUUAGAUACCCUAGUAGUCCACGCCGUAAACGAUGAGUACUAAGUGUUGGGAGUCAAAUCUCAGUGCUGCAGUUAACGCAAUAAGUACUCCGCCUGAGUAGUACGUUCGCAAGAACUGAAACUCAAAGGAAUUGACGGG